rnacentral:rRNA from 1 species
CCUACGGGAGGCAGCAGAGAGGAAUAUUGGUCAAUGGACGUAAGUCUGAACCAGCCAAGUAGCGUGCAGGAUUGACGGCCCUAUGGGUUGUAAACUGCUUUUGUUGGGGAGUAAAGCGGGGCACGUGUGCCCCUUUGCAUUUACCCUUCGAAUAAGGACCGGCUAAUUCCGUGCCAGCAGCCGCGGUAAUACGGAAGGUCCAGGCGUUAUCCGGAUUUAUUGGGUUUAAAGGGAGCGUAGGCGGUCUGUUAAGCGUGUUGUGAAAUUUAGGUGCUCAACAUCUAACUUGCAGCGCGAACUGGCGGACUUGAGUGCACGCAACGUAUGCGGAAUUCAUGGUGUAGCGGUGAAAUGCUUAGAUAUCAUGACGAACUCCGAUUGCGAAGGCAGCGUACGGGAGUGUUACUGACGCUUAAGCUCGAAGGUGCGGGUAUCGAACAGGAUUAGAUACCCUGGUAGUCCGCACGGUAAACGAUGGAUGCCCGCUGUUAGCGCCUGGCGUUAGCGGCUAAGCGAAAGCAUUAAGCAUCCCACCUGGGGAGUACGCCGGCAACGGUGAAACUCAAAUGAAUUGACGGA